CUUUUAAAACUUCAUAUUGUUUAUAUUAUUAGCAAAUAGGUUACUAUAAUAUUGCUUCUUAUUUAUACGAGUUAAAAUGGAGAUCUUGUUUCUAUAGACUUUAUAUGUUUUUAUGUUACCUGAAGAUAAAAGCUUAUUUUUCACCUUCAUCGAUUUGAGUAAGCCCUUUCUUAUCUAGGGUUUUAAAAGCUGUUUUGUUUU